rnacentral:rRNA from 1 species
GACGAACGCUGGCGGCGUGCUUAACACAUGCAAGUCGAACGAUGAAGCUGGAGCUUGCUCUGGUGGAUUAGUGGCGAACGGGUGAGUAACACGUGAGUAACCUGCCCUGGACUCUGGGAUAACCCCGAGAAAUCGGAGCUAAUACCGGAUAGGACCUUGCACCGCAUGGUGUGGGGUGGAAAGUUUUUCGGUCUGGGAUGGACUCGCGGCCUAUCAGCUUGUUGGUGAGGUAAUGGCUCACCAAGGCGUCGACGGGUAGCCGGCCUGAGAGGGUGACCGGCCACACUGGGACUGAGACACGGCCCAGACUCCUACGGGAGGCAGCAGUGGGGAAUAUUGCACAAUGGGCGCAAGCCUGAUGCAGCAACGCCGCGUGCGGGAUGACGGCCUUCGGGUUGUAAACCGCUUUUAGUAAGGAAGAAGGGGCUUCGGCCUUGACGGUACUUGCAGAAAAGGACCGGCUAACUACGUGCCAGCAGCCGCCGUAAAAC